CAUGAACCUUAUCAUUUAGAGGAAGGAGAAGUCGUAACAAGGUUUCCGUAGGUGAACCUGCGGAAGGAUCAUUGUUGAGAAUGAGGGUUAUUGACUAGAGAACUUGUUAUCUUUUGGAAUCCCUGCCAUCAAAGAUGCUGACUCGAAGAGUGUUUUCUCUUUGACUAGCUUGUUUGUUGGACGGGCUAAAGAACCUUGCCACCACUUUUGAUGGUUGUGGGGGUUCGUAAAAUUGUGGGCAUGGAAUGUGCCAAGGAUAUAAAUUGCACAUUUGGGUAAUGCUACUUUGGUUAGAGUCUUUAAUGUGCUCAAUUGAAGGCAUACCUGAUGCGGCAUGUUUGGUGUCUUUAAAAGAUAUUACUCUUGACAAUGGAUAUCUAGGCUCUUGCAUCGAUGAAGAACGUAGCAAAAUGCGAUACUUGGUGUGAAUUGCACAAUCCCGUGAACCAUCGAAUCUUUGAACGCAAGUUGCGCCCGUGACCUCUUGGUUGUGGGCACAUCUGCUUGGGUGUCACACUAUAUGUUGCUCCGUCCAACUAGUCCUUGUGAUGUGUUAAGAUGGAAGCGAAGAUUGGUUCACCGUGCCUUUAUAGAUGUGGUGGGCUAAAAUAUGAGAUGAUGAUAAAGUGAGUACACAACAUGUGAUGGGCAGAAUAAUGCUUUUGAUUUGGCUUGUUGUGUUCUCACAUUGUCAUGUUCUUGCACCAACCGUGCUGAAGGGAGUGUUGAAUGCUGGUGUGGUGUUGUUCUCCCUUUAAUUGUGACCCCAGGUCAGGCAGGACUACCCGCUGAGUUUAAGCAUAUCAU
rnacentral:rRNA from 1 species